CCGGUAAAGAAUUUUAGCCUAGUCUAUCACAGCUAUUUCUGCACUAACUUUCUAUAGACCGUGAGACCAAUGUCAUUGGUGAGACGUAAAAUGUAGGAAGAAUUUUUCGGAGGUCAAAGGUCGGGGUCCAUUGGCUGAAAACAAAUCGAAACAAUCCAGUUCGGAUCUGCAGAAUUCUUCACGAAAGUAUUUCCUCGAGAAGCAUUUCGACGACGACGUGGGGAGUUGGCUACUGUUUCCUACAUAUUUUGAUAUAGCCUAACACUAUGCCAAAGAUGAAGAAAAAAAGUUUAGAGGUUAAAAAGAGGGCGAGAAAGGCAAAAAGUAAGGCCGAACAAACUUAGAAAGACAUGCGGAAGAUCGAUAAGCAAGCGGUCUCCCAUCGCUAUCUAGUUAGAGAAACUCGAAGCAUUGAAACAUGCUUUAAAAGAACCUAGCGUGAAUUCAAAUAGUUUUCCAACAGCUUGUGAAGAACUCAAGAAAACAUUACCUAACAAGUCUGGUGCUACGAAGUCUUCUUUGGAUAUACAUGGAAAUGGAGGCGCAACACAUUCUAACGACAAAGUAGGAAAAUCCAAUGAAGACACAGUAUUAAAGCAAUUGACGACCAAAUACACAUGUGUUGGUUCCGCUCAAGUAAUACCAAAACCGAUAUCGAACACGGCUAAUGACCGUGUUGAACCUAAAUAUUUCAAAACCUGUGCUGAACCAUAUAAAAGUGCUGCAAAGUUCAAAAACAAAUCUUCGUCCGCAAAAUCCGAAAGUAAAGCUGCUAAUGACAAAAGUAAAAUUUCAGAUAAACAAACGGAAAAAUUUAUAGUGCGAAAUAUCAGCAAAGUUUUAAGAUUAUAUAAAGUGUCGAAUUUGAAUUAUAGAAUCAAACCAGUGCGACAUAUGACUCCUAAAAACUUGGUUUGUCCUGUUAUUUACAUUGGUGAGCCCGCGUUUCUUGAUCCAGAAGAUUUUUCUGAGUGUGACACUAACAACUCGUCUCUGCCUCCGAUUUCUUCAUCAUUUAUAGUGGAAAUACUUAAUGGCGUAAAUGAAAACCAUCUUUAAGACAGGUUUUGAAACUUCGAAUACAAUAACUACUGGUAAGAUGUUGUUAAUAUUCCCAAAUCGAGUGGACACUCCUAUUAGUGUUCCAUUUCGAGGACAGUUUAACCAGUUUUUCGUCCCAGGAGCCUGGAUCAUUUUGUCUAAGAUUCUCUGUUGUUCCUAUUUUUUAAUGGAAGGUAUUUCGCCGAUUAGAUAUAGCCUAAUUUGGACGCCCCAAUAUAAGUAGCUUCCAUUUCUGAUGUACCAUCCGGACCGGUAAGCAUCUAAGUUUGCUUUGGAUAUUCUGCAUAAUAUACAAUUCUGCAUAAUAUACACCCUGCGCAAGUUUAAACCAACUUUACUCCCAUUCCAGUCAAACAUAAGUCUGGGAUACGUACCAACAACACAAGAUAAUGUUGGUUUGCUUUCAACAUGUUCGCCGAUCGAUACCUUUGCCAGAAGAAUUAAUGGCAAGCUUGAGUAUCACAGUCUCAGCGAGAUCACCUUCCUCCGCGGAGGAAACAACAUAUAAUAUACACAACUGCAGGUCUAAAGAAGAAAAAGAUAAGUUGUGCGACAGCCGAGGUUAUUCCUACACUUUUAAAGGCUCCAAUCAGUUUAAUGUGACAUGGAGAUGUUCAGUUCGAGGUGCCAACACAGCUCAAGGUUUGAAAGAACCUAAGCUUGUCACAACCACGAACAUGCCAAGUUAAUAGCAAAAUAUAUAAGAGGAAGCCAAGAAAAAUGGCAAAAAAUGGCAAAUUGUUUCAGACAAGCAAACAGACCGGAAGAGCAGGAUUUGAUUCAAAUUGAACUGGGUAUCAACCACCUACCUGAAAACUCCGUACAAAAUAAACUCAAAACACUUGAUAGUGGCCACAGACCAACAGAUUAAUCCUUUGAAAAAGUACAAGUGAAGUCCCUACAAAUGCAGUCAAUUUGAAGGUGCUUUGAUCAAAAAAGGCACAUUAUUUUUACACAUAUGGCAGUUUGACAACGGUUCCAUGGAGAGCCACAGUUUAAAGUUUUUCUUGACCAAAAGUUGGAAAGGGUGAAGAGGAGACCUGUAUUAUACUUGAAAUUUAUAAAGCUUACUCAACAAACAUAAAAAGAAGGGAUAAAUGUUGAAUGAUUGAUUAUGUCUCUUGCCAGGUUAUUAUCAUUUCUAUGCAUUUUUAAAGCUCAAUGGUAAAUGUAUGUUUUCACCCACCAUACUGGAAUUAAACCAUUUGAAUGUGGGGAAA